rnacentral:rRNA from 1 species
GACGAACGCUGGCGGCGUGCUUAACACAUGCAAGUCGAACGGAAAGGCCCUGCUUUUGUGGGGUGCUCGAGUGGCGAACGGGUGAGUAACACGUGAGUAACCUGCCCUUGACUUUGGGAUAACUUCAGGAAACUGGGGCUAAUACCGGAUAGGAGCUCCUGCUGCAUGGUGGGGGUUGGAAAGUUUCGGCGGUUGGGGAUGGACUCGCGGCUUAUCAGCUUGUUGGUGGGGUAGUGGCUUACCAAGGCUUUGACGGGUAGCCGGCCUGAGAGGGUGACCGGCCACAUUGGGACUGCGAUACGGCCCAGACUCCUACGGGAGGCAGCAGUGGGGAAUAUUGCACAAUGGGCGGGGGCCUGAUGCAGCAGCGCCGCGUGCGGGAUGACGGCCUUCGGGUUGUAAACCGCUUUCGCCUGUGACGAAGCGUGAGUGACGGUAAUGGGUAAAGAAGCACCGGCUAACUACGUG